UUAAGUUAUUAAGGGCGCACGGUGGAUGCCUUGGCACUAGAAGCCGAUGAAGGACGUUACUAACGACGAUAUGCUUUGGGGAGCUGUAAGUAAGCUUUGAUCCAGAGAUUUCCGAAUGGGGAAACCCAGCAUGAGUUAUGUCAUGUUAUCGAUAUGUGAAUACAUAGCAUAUCAGAAGGCACACCCGGAGAACUGAAACAUCUUAGUACCCGGAGGAAGAGAAAGAAAAUUCGAUUCCCUUAGUAGCGGCGAGCGAAACGGGAAGAGCCCAAACCAACAAGCUUGCUUGUUGGGGUUGUAGGACACUCUAUACGGAGUUACAAAGGACGACAUUAGACGAAUCAUCUGGAAAGAUGAAUCAAAGAAGGUAAUAAUCCUGUAGUCGAAAAUGUUGUCUCUCUUGAGUGGAUCCUGAGUACGACGGAGCACGUGAAAUUCCGUCGGAAUCUGGGAGGACCAUCUCCUAAGGCUAAAUACUCUCUAGUGACCGAUAGUGAACCAGUACCGUGAGGGAAAGGUGAAAAGCACCCCGGAAGGGGAGUGAAAUAGAACCUGAAACCGUGUGCUUACAAGUAGUCAGAGCCCGUUAAUGGGUGAUGGCGUGCCUUUUGUAGAAUGAACCGGCGAGUUACGAUUUGAUGCAAGGUUAAGCAGUAAAUGUGGAGCCGUAGCGAAAGCGAGUCUGAAUAGGGCGUUUAGUAUUUGGUCGUAGACCCGAAACCAGGUGAUCUACCCUUGGUCAGGUUGAAGUUCAGGUAACACUGAAUGGAGGACCGAACCGACUUACGUUGAAAAGUGAGCGGAUGAACUGAGGGUAGCGGAGAAAUUCCAAUCGAACCUGGAGAUAGCUGGUUCUCUCCGAAAUAGCUUUAGGGCUAGCCUCAAGUGAUGAUUAUUGGAGGUAGAGCACUGUUUGGACGAGGGGCCCCUCUCGGGUUACCGAAUUCAGACAAACUCCGAAUGCCAAUUAAUUUAACUUGGGAGUCAGAACAUGGGUGAUAAGGUCCGUGUUCGAAAGGGAAACAGCCCAGACCACCAGCUAAGGUCCCAAAAUAUAUGUUAAGUGGAAAAGGAUGUGGCGUUGCCCAGACAACUAGGAUGUUGGCUUAGAAGCAGCCAUCAUUUAAAGAGUGCGUAAUAGCUCACUAGUCGAGUGACACUGCGCCGAAAAUGUACCGGGGCUAAACAUAUUACCGAAGCUGUGGAUUGUCCUUUGGACAAUGGUAGGAGAGCGUUCUAAGGGCGUUGAAGCAUGAUCGUAAGGACAUGUGGAGCGCUUAGAAGUGAGAAUGCCGGUGUGAGUAGCGAAAGACGGGUGAGAAUCCCGUCCACCGAUUGACUAAGGUUUCCAGAGGAAGGCUCGUCCGCUCUGGGUUAGUCGGGUCCUAAGCUGAGGCCGACAGGCGUAGGCGAUGGAUAACAGGUUGAUAUUCCUGUACCACCUAUAAUCGUUUUAAUCGAUGGGGGGACGCAGUAGGAUAGGCGAAGCGUGCGAUUGGAUUGCACGUCUAAGCAGUAAGGCUGAGUAUUAGGCAAAUCCGGUACUCAUUAAGGCUGAGCUGUGAUGGGGAGAAGACAUUGUGUCUUCGAGUCGUUGAUUUCACACUGCCGAGAAAAGCCUCUAGAUAGAAAAUAGGUGCCCGUACCGCAAACCGACACAGGUAGUCAAGAUGAGAAUUCUAAGGUGAGCGAGCGAACUCUCGUUAAGGAACUCGGCAAAAUGACCCCGUAACUUCGGGAGAAGGGGUGCUCUUUAGGGUUAACGCCCAGAAGAGCCGCAGUGAAUAGGCCCAAGCGACUGUUUAUCAAAAACACAGGUCUCUGCUAAACCGUAAGGUGAUGUAUAGGGGCUGACGCCUGCCCGGUGCUGGAAGGUUAAGAGGAGUGGUUAGCUUCUGCGAAGCUACGAAUCGAAGCCCCAGUAAACGGCGGCCGUAACUAUAACGGUCCUAAGGUAGCGAAAUUCCUUGUCGGGUAAGUUCCGACCCGCACGAAAGGCGUAACGAUUUGGGCACUGUCUCAACGAGAGACUCGGUGAAAUCAUAGUACCUGUGAAGAUGCAGGUUACCCGCGACAGGACGGAAAGACCCCGUGGAGCUUUACUGUAGCCUGAUAUUGAAAUUCGGCACAGCUUGUACAGGAUAGGUAGGAGCCUUUGAAACGUGAGCGCUAGCUUACGUGGAGGCGCUGGUGGGAUACUACCCUAGCUGUGUUGGCUUUCUAACCCGCACCACUUAUCGUGGUGGGAGACAGUGUCAGGCGGGCAGUUUGACUGGGGCGGUCGCCUCCUAAAAGGUAACGGAGGCGCUCAAAGGUUCCCUCAGAAUGGUUGGAAAUCAUUCAUAGAGUGUAAAGGCAUAAGGGAGCUUGACUGCGAGACCUACAAGUCGAGCAGGGUCGAAAGACGGACUUAGUGAUCCGGUGGUUCCGCAUGGAAGGGCCAUCGCUCAACGGAUAAAAGCUACCCCGGGGAUAACAGGCUUAUCUCCCCCAAGAGUUCACAUCGACGGGGAGGUUUGGCACCUCGAUGUCGGCUCAUCGCAUCCUGGGGCUGUAGUCGGUCCCAAGGGUUGGGCUGUUCGCCCAUUAAAGCGGUACGCGAGCUGGGUUCAGAACGUCGUGAGACAGUUCGGUCCCUAUCCGUCGUGGGCGUAGGAAAUUUGAGAGGAGCUGUCCUUAGUACGAGAGGACCGGGAUGGACAUACCUCUGGUGUACCAGUUGUCGUGCCAACGGCAUAGCUGGGUAGCUAUGUGUGGACGGGAUAAGUGCUGAAAGCAUCUAAGCAUGAAGCCCCCCUCAAGAUGAGAUUUCCCAACUUCGGUUAUAAGAUCCCUCAAAGAUGAUGAGGUUAAUAGGUUCGAGGUGGAAGCAUGGUGAUAUGUGGAGCUGACGAAUACUAAUCGAUCGAAGACUUAAUCAA
rnacentral:rRNA from 1 species